GGGGGCGAAAGGUUUCGACCGAGUAGUGAGAAGCGAGGGUUGCACUCUGAGGUUGUCCAGGAGGCCUCAUAAAACACCUGGCAAAAACUAAAUGCUGAUAAUGAUUUAGCAUUGGCUGCGUAAAACCAGCCACAUCCUCCCAAUCUUACCUGCGGGGUUGGAAAGGGUGACAAAUAGCAGGUUAGCUUUACCUUUUUGCUCAACGAAGGUUAAGCGAACUUUUUGUUUGAGAUAGUUGAAUUAAGAGCCUGUCUGUCGGCGCUUAAUUUGGCGAAAACUAAAUAGAGAGACUAUGUGUGUAGACGCCUUCGCCGAAAUGCUUUGGGACGCGGGUUCGAUUCCCGCCGCCUCCACCA
rnacentral:tmRNA from 4 species